AUUAUUUUAGAGCUUAACAUUGUAAGUAAAUAAUAAUUAUGAAAGCAAAAAAUUAUGGCGGUAUUUUAAGCUUUUCAGAGGAAUUUGCUCUUUAAUGGAUAAAACACCAAAAUCUUACUUAGAUUUGUGAUUUCAAUUUGUAUACCACUAUUAAAACAAUUUAUAACUUUAAUUGUUUAAAUUUACAAAACUAAAAUAUAUUAAGUCAAGGUGCAGUAAAAAUUUAAGGAUGAAGUGAAUUACAUUACUUUUUAGUGAGAUAAGUUUAUAACAAUAUUU
rnacentral:rRNA from 1 species